GCUUAUCAGCUUAAGGAGUUUUGGGGCUGAGACAAUGGGGUUUCCUAAAUAUACAAUCAUGUCAUCUGCAAACAGAGAUAAUUUGAUUUCCUCUCUUCCUAUUUGAAGACCUUUAUUUCUUUCUCUUGCCUGAUUACCCUGGCCAGAACUUCCAAUACCAUGUUAAAUAGGAGUGGUGAGAGAGGGCAUCCUUGUCUUGUGCCAGUUUUCAAAGGGAAUGCUUCCAGUUUUUGCCCAUUCAGUAUGAUAUUGGCUGUGGGUCUGUCAUAAAUAGCUCUUAUUAUUUUGAGAUAUGUUCCAUCAGUACUUAGUUUAUUGAGUGUUUUUAGCAUGAAGCCAUGUUGAAUCUUAUUGAAAGCCUUUUCUGCAUCUAUUGAAAUAAUCACGUGAUUUUUGUCCUUGAUUGUGUUUAUGUGAUGGAUUACAUUUAUUGAUUUGCAUAUGUUGAACCAGCCUUGCAUCCCAGGGAUGAAGCCACCUUGAUCACGGUGGAAAAGCUUUUUGAUGUGCUGCUGGAUUCGGUUUGCCAGUGUUUUAUUGAGGAUUUUCGCAUUGAUGUUUAUCACGGAUAUUGGUCUAAAAUGUUGUUGUUGUUGUGUCUCUGCCAGGUUGGGAUAUCAGGAUGAUGCUGGCCUCAUCAAAUGAGUUAGGGAGGAUUCCCUCAUUUUCUGUUGUUCAGAAUAGUUUCAGAAGGAAUGGGAUCAGCUCCACUUUGUACCUCUGGUAGAAUUCGGCUGUGAAUCUGUCUGGUCCUGGGCUUUUUUGGCUAGUAGGGUAUUAAUUACUGCCUCAAUUUCAGAACUUGUUUUUGUUCUAUUCAGGGAUUUGACUUCUUCCUGGUUUAGUCUGGGGAGGGUGUAUGUAUCCAGGAAUUUAUCCAUUCUUCCAGAUUUUCUAGUUUAUUUGCACAGAAGUGUUAUAAUAUUCUCUGACGGUAGUUUGUAUUUCUGUGGGAACAGUGGUCAUAUCCCCUUUAUCAUUUUUUAUUGUGUCUAUUUGAUUCUUCUCUCUUUUCUUCUUAAUUAGUCUGGCUAAUUCUGUUAAUCUUUUAAAAAAAACAGCCCCUGGAUUCAUUGAUUUUUUUGGAGGGUUUUCCCUGCUCCUAUCUCCUUCGGUUCAAUUGUCAUCUUAGUUAUUUGUUGCCUUCUGCUAGCUUUUGAAUUUGUUUGCUCUUGCUUCUCUAGUUGUUUUAAUUGCUAUGUUAGGGUGUCGAUUUUAGAUCUUUGCCACUUUCUCCUGUGGGCAUUUAGUGCUAUAAAUUUCCCUCCAAACACUGCUUUAGCUGUGUCCCAGAGAUUCUGGUACAUUGUGUCUUUGAUCUCAUUGGUUUCAAAGAACUUAUUUAUUUCCCACCUUCAUUUCAUUAUUUACCCAGUAGUCAUUCAGGAGCAGGUUGUUCAGUUUCCAUGUAGUUGUAUGGUUUUGAGUGAGUUUCUUAAUCCUGAGUUCUAGUUUGAUUUCACCGUGGUCUGAGAGACUGUUUGUUUUGAUUUCCGUUCUUUUGCAUUUGCUGAGGAUUGUUUUAUUUCCAAUCAUGUGGUUGAUUUUAGAAUAAGUGCAAUGUGGUGCUGAGAAGAAUGCAUAUUCUGUUGAUUUUGGGUGAAGAGUUCUGUAGAUGUCUAUUAGGUCUGCUUGGUCCAGAGCUGAGUUCAACUCCCGAAUAUCCUUGUUAAUUUUCUGUCUCAUUGAUCUGUCUAAUAUUGACAGUGGGGUGUUAAAAUCUCCCCCUAUUAUUGUGUGGUAGUCUAAGUCUCUUUGUAGGUCUCUAAUAACUUGCUUUAUGAAACUGAGUGCUCCUGUAUUGGGUGCAUAUAUAUUUAGGAUAGUUAGCUCUUCUUGUUGCAUUGAUCCCUUUACCAUUAUGUAAUGCUCUUCUUUGUCUUUUUAAAUCUUUGUUGGUUUAAAGUCUGUUUUAUCAGAGACUAGUAUUGCAACCCCUGUUUUUUUUGCUUUCCAUUUGCAUGGUAAAUAUUCCUCCAUCCCUUUAUUUUGAGCCUAUGUGUAUCGUUGCACAUGAGAUGGGUCUCCUGAAUACAGCACACCAAUGGAUCUUGACUCUUCAUCGAAUUUGCCAGUCUUUGCCUCUUAAUUGGGGCAUUUAGCACGGUUACAUUUAAGGUUAAUAUUGUUAUGUAUGAAUUUGAUUCUGUCAUUAUGAUGUUAGCUGGUUAUUUUGCCCAUUAGAUGAUGCAGUUUCUUCAUACUGUCAAUGGUCUUUACAUUUCGGUAUGUUUUUGCAGUGGCUGGUAGUAGUUUUUCCUUUCCAUAUUUAGUGCUUUCUUCAGGAGCUCUUGUAAGGCAGGCCUGGUGGUGACAAAAUCCCUCAGGGCAAUCAGGCAAGGAAAGCAUCCUGAACUGUGUUUUCCAGCUUGGUUCCAUUCGCCCUGUCACUUUCAGGUACACCAGUGAAACAUAGGUUUGGUCUUUUCACAUAGUCCCAUAUUUCUUGGAGGCUUUGUUCAUUCCUUUUCAUUCUUUUUUCUCUGAUCUUGCCUUCAUGCUUUAUUUCAUUGAGUUGAUCUUUAACCUCUGAUAUCCUUUCUUCCACUUGAUCAAUUUGGCUAUUGAUACUUGUGUAUGCUUUGCGAAGUUCUUGUGCUAUGUUUUUCAGCUCCAUCGGGUCAUUUAUGUUCUUCUCUAAACUGGUUAUUCUAGUUAGCAAUUACUCUAACCUUUUAUCAAGGUUCUUAGCUUCCUUGCAUUGAGUUAGAACAUGCUCCUUUAGCUUGGAGGAGUUUGUUAUUACCCACCUUCUGAAGCCUACUUCUGUCAAUUCAUCAAACUCAUUCUCUGUCCAGUUUUGUUCCCUUGCUGGCGAGGAGUUGUGAUCCUUUGGAGUAGAAGAGGCAUUCUGGUUUUUGAAAUCUUCAGCCUAUUUGCACUGGUUUUUCCUCAUCUUUGUGGAUUUAUCUACCUUUGAUCUUUGCUGUUGGUGAUCUUUGGAUGGAGUUUUUGCGUGGUCAUCUGUUUUGUUGAUGUUGAUGAUACUGCUUUCUGUUUGUUAGUCUUCCUUCUAACAGUCAGGCCCUUCUCCUGCAGGUCUGCUGGAGUUUGCUGUGGGUCCACUCCAGACCCUGUUUACCUGGGUAUCACCAGCAGAGGAUGCAGAACAGCAGAGAUUGCUGCCUGCUCCUUCCUCUGGAAGCUUUGUCCCAGAGGGGAACCUGCCAGAUGCCAGCUGGAGCUCUCCUGUAUGAGGUGUCUGUCAAACCCUGCUGGGAGGUGUCUCCUAGUCAGGAGGCACGGGGGUCAGGGACCCACUUGAGGAGGCAGUCUGUCCGUUCUCAGAGCUGGAACGCUGUGCUGGGAGAUCCGCUGCUGUCUUUAGAGCCUGCAGGUGAGGCGACACCCCACCCUGCUUCUGCUCGCCCUCCAUGGGUUGCACCCACUGUCUAACCAGUCCCAAUGAGAAGAACCGGGUACCUCUGUUGGAAAUGCAGAAAUCACCCACCUUCUGCAUGGGCCUUGCUGGGAGCUGCAGACCACAGCUGUUCCUAUUCGGCCAUCUUGCCCAGGAAUUCCCUAUGUUGCUGUUUUCUACCUUACAGUUCUAUAGACUGAUGGAAAAAAGAAGUCUUCAAGUUUUAAAAAUCUUCUUAUAUGCCUUGCAGGUGGGCUUUUAUUAAUCAUUAUUGUCUCUUUAUAGGCUAUCCUCAAUACUACUAUAAUUAUCUCCAACUCUAGUUCUUUGUUUCAACCCAUGUCUUCUUCCCUCUAUUGAAAACAUUAGUACUUCCUUGAAAUAGUAAUAUGUUUGAUUUCUACAUUUUCAGUUUUAAGGAAAUUCACAUUUCACACAGACUGGAGCCAGGUCAAUUAAUAUUCUUAUCUGAGGACACAGAGACUUAUUUAGGUUAAUAAAUAAAUAAAUACAAGCUUUCCUAGAAAAACCAAAAUAGAAACUAAUUAUUCAAUAAUAGUGGCUCCUACUUAUUGUUGGAAACUACUACCCAUCUUUAAAUACCACGACCAUCAUUUUUUAUAAAAUGAAGAUGCUGCUUCUCAUUUAAGUUCAUAAAUUGGGCCAACACGUUUUAGCUUUUUAGGUUUUAAAAACUGCCUGCCUACUUCAUGUAAACAAAAUCAAAGCUGAGAUGACUAGAAAUAAUAUUUUGACAAUUUUAUUUUCUCUUUUUGAUUGCUUAAGAAAGUUCUUAAAUAAUUUUGAGUUUAAGGGAAUCUUAUACAUCUCUCUAGUUCAGCAUUCUUAUUUUAUAAAUGACUUAUGUCAAGAAUGACUGAUUUGUUUAAAGUAUAAAAGAGCAUUGAUUCUCAAAUGUUACCAACCCAAACAUUUGAAAAACACUGUAUACCCGAACCCUGCGUGUAACUGGUUUCCCAGUGCCCUUUGAGAGUCACUUAACAAGAAUCCUAGCACAUCGUUAUUUUUAUGUCACCCUGCCUUUAUUUUUAGUGUCCCAAAAAUCCUUCUGGAGUUAUAAAUAUGGCAGGAUAUUUAACUGGGACUUUUUCUUUCUGUUUUAGCUGAAGGCUGAAAGGCUGAGAUAAGGGCCUUUAUCCAUGCAUCCUUAGUAGGGGCUCCAUCACUAUGCAGGGCUUGCUAAAAUGGCAUCCCAAAACAAAUACUGAGACCCUCCAUUUAAUCCGCACUAAGAAGAUAUUUAGAAAUUAGAAAGUUCAAAGGAUGGGAGUGUUUGGAAUAGAAUUUCCUUAGGAACAGUUGUUGUGAUGUAGCAUUUUCCGCUGUUCCCUUAUCUCUAUCUUGAGUAAAAGGACUUUCAAGGGAACUACUGGACAAGGUUUAACUUUGAAUGAGGUAGGGAAUUUUGAUUAUUAAGAGACUGUUUUUAUAAUUAAAAGUUACUGAAGCUAUGGGACUGCUUUCACUUUUCAUCAGAAGCACAGAAAUAGCUGGCCCCUCUAGCAGGGUUUUAGGGACAGUGGAAGGAAAAAUAAUGCUUUAUAUUGCACCAUAUUGAGUUCUGCUCUUUCAAUGUAAUCGUUACACAAAGUAAUCUUUUGUAAAGUCAAUAAACCUGUUCAUUUAACAGACUGCUAAGAUUAACUAAUGUGUGUACAUUAACCCAUCUCAAUGAUUAACCUUCUGAACAAAAGAAAUUAAAAAGUCUCCUUGAAUUUGGUGAAAAACAUUAUCCUGGAUAGGGAGAUGACAACCUUUUCUGGUAUCUUGUGUCUAUGUUUUUCUUCCAUGACUUCUGAAUAUAACAUAAGACUUAGCUUGGAGGAUAUAUCCAAUCAUGGCCUUAUAAAAAGCCUCCUCUUUCAGUCUUAUUAUCUUAUGAGUCACGCAUAUAACAAAA
rnacentral:lncRNA from 10 species